GACGAACGCUGGCGGCGUGCUUAACACAUGCAAGUCGAACGGAGAGGCCCUGCUUUUGUGGGGUGCUCGAGUGGCGAACGGGUGAGUAACACGUGAGUAACCUGCCCUUGACUUUGGGAUAACUUCAGGAAACUGGGGCUAAUACCGGAUAGGAGCUCCUGCUGCAUGGUGGGGGUUGGAAAGUUUCGGCGGUUGGGGAUGGACUCGCGGCUUAUCCGCUUGUUGGUGGGGUAGUGGCUUACCAAGGCUUUGACGGGUAGCCGGCCUGAGAGGGUGACCGGCCACAUUGGGACUGAGAUACGGCCCAGACUCCUACGGGAGGCAGCAGUGGGGAAUAUUGCACAAUGGGCGGAAGCCUGAUGCAGCAACGCCGCGUGCGGGAGGACGGCCUUCGGGUUGUAACCCGCUUUCGCCUGUGACGAAGCGUGAGUGACGGUAAUGGGUAAAGAAGCACCGGCUAACUACGUG
rnacentral:rRNA from 1 species